AGUUCCUCCCCUGGAAAUAGGACUGAUAAGAACAAGGGUGCUAUGAUGAUUAAGAUAUUGCAUGUGUCAUUGACACACGGGACUCAAUAAAUGUUAGUUUUUAUUAUUUUUAAAUCUUUGCUCCAAGCACAGGUUUUCUAAGUGGAAACUGAGGCAUGACCACCCAUUAUGUCAUGGGGGAGAGAUUUUUAUGCAGGGGUUGGGGAGGAUGGAGGCAGCCCUCCCUUCUCCCAGGCCCAGAGAAUGUGAAAAGUUCUACCUGUAUGAGACCACAUCUCAUAACCUCAAGGGCUUUUCAGAAAGGGUGUCAUGUAGAGGGCUGGAGGGUCUCAGCAACGUGAAGAUUGGCUAGGAGAGCAGGCGACUCAUUCAGUCAUUCGUCACCAAGCACAAUCUUGUCCCUGGCACUGUCAGAAGCUGGGAAUACAGAGAUAAAUAAAACGUGGUCAAAAAUCUCACAGUCUAAAGUGUCGGGACAAACUCACAAGCCAAUCAAUGGGACACAGUGGGCUCAAAGCUGGCACAGAAGUGAUGCACAAAAAUGAAGCCCAGAGGAGAGGACCACGAGUUCUCCUCAUGGUCAUUUGAGCUGGGUGCUCACAGGUAAUAGAUGCCCAAUAGAAAACGCGGGGAGGGAGGUCAGGACCAAGAGGAGAGCAUGUGCUACAAGAGGGAGAAUAAAUAUGCAGGCCAACUGGGAAGCAGCUCAGACAGGCUGGAGCAAUGGCCAUGCUUUAGGACCCUGGCUAGGUGUUAGAAUUACCUGGGGGAGAUUUCUAAACACACCCACAACCUCCAGGUCCCAGGCCAAUGAAAUCAGACUCUCUGAGAGCAUGGUCUGGCGUGGGUAGGUUUCAAAGCUCCCAGGUGAUUUGAAUGUGCAGCCAGGACUGAGAAGCCCUGGGUUGGAGCUGAACAGGAGGCACACAGCAUGACAUGAGCCUGUCGGAGAGGAUGAGGCAGAAAUGAAAGCCAGGCCAAGAAGCUGGACAUUCUCCUGCAGGCCACCAGGAGCCCAGUGGUGUUCUUGUAACUGAGGAGAAUAUGAUUAGGAAAUCCUUUGAUUAGCAAAGUUGCUAAAAGAACUGAGGCUGGGAGACUGCAACAGCCCCAACCUAGCACCCCAGAUGAGGAUCUGAACUGAGGUGGAGCCGCAAAGACAAAGGAAGAGCUCGUCACACAGGAUUAGAUUUAGGAAGUGAGGACGAGGUUCUAUAACUCCCUCAGAGUCAGGGACAGUGUCUAUACAGGGUGGAACACUGAGGGCAGGAUCCAGCCCCAGCAGCCCUGGGGGCCUCUCUCCAGGGAAAGCCUCAUAUGCACCAACAUGGCUCCUCCCCAGCCCCACCCAGGUGAAAGGACACCCUCCCCUGGAGAAGGGUUUAAGGAGAAGUCUAACCCAGGCUUACCUUCAGGGAUCCUCUGAUGGGCCCACGUUGGGAUUUUGCAGGAGAGUUCUGAUCCACCACACCUGCACCCAAGCCCCACCUCCCAUCCAGAGGCAGGCAGGCAGCCUGAACCCUCCCUCCGACAGGGAGGUGGCACUCUGCCUGUGAGGCAGCCCUCCUAGAGCAAAGCUGCACCAGCUGGUGUCUCUUCCCUGCUGUCUUCGCCUGUUCCCAAAGCCCCAGGUUCCCCGCCUUUGCUUUCUCCUGGUGAAUGGUGGGCUUGCAGUUUGGCCACAAGAUGGCAGCCUUUCCUAUAAAAUCUUCCCAGAGUUGGGCCUAGUGGCCCAGGCGGGUUCAAGGAAGGUAUUAGGUGGCUGGAGACGGAGAAGCAAGCGCCUGCCUGGGAGAGUCCUGGGCCCUGAAAGAGGCCCCUGGGACUGGUUCCAGGAAACCAGAUUCCAAACAGAUCCACCCUGGGAACAGCCAGACUGGAUUCGGAGCCCAGCUCCACCAUUUGCUCCCCGGACCACUCCCUCAACAACCCCUUAUCUUAGUGUUAUCUCAGCCAAAUGCAAGCUGAUUUUAUUCCAAGGCAGGAGGCUUGGCCAGAAGGAAUCUGCCCCAUUGGCUGUAAGUCAACCACACGAAUGUCUGUCACGUAGGAGGCUGGAGUAGAGAGGAGAUGGAGAAGAUGAACACAGACUGGUUCUGCCUCCAGGCAGCAUCACUAUAUUAAUUAGGAGACUUGUGAUGAUAAGGGUCAGAACCCCAACUCAAAGCAAAAAUUGGGAAGACCAAAGGCAUGACUGACUUCAGACACACUUGGAUCCAGGGGCCCAAAGGAUGUCUUUGCUCCACCUCCAGUUCAGCUUCCAUUGGGAUUGUGGCCUUAUUCCCAGGUAGGCUUUCUCCACAUGUGGGAAAGACAGUUACUAGCAGCCCCAAACCUACAUCCUUGUGGCACCCAUAGAAAUGGCAGAGAGGCCAUCCCUCUGUCUCACAGAAGACCUUGAGCUGGCGCAAACUCCAUCAGCUCUACCAGAGCCAUAACGAGAGGGAAAGAGUGGUUCCCCUUGGGAAGAUAACCGCCUAGACAAAACGUGUUAGCUGCUGAGAUGAGAUCUGAAAUCAUGCAUUUGUCUGUUCU
ensembl:lncRNA